AGAGAUGCAUUGGGUUUAAAGGGUGCGCAGGCAGUUUUGUAAGACAGAGGUGAAAUCCCCGGGCUCAACCUGGGAACUGCCUUUGUGACUGCAAGGCUGGAGUGCGGCAGAGGGGGAUGGAAUUCCGCGUGUAGCAGUGAAAUGCGUAGAUAUGCGGAGGAACACCGAUGGCGAAGGCAAUCCCCUGGGCCUGCACUGACGCUCAUGCACGAAAGCGUGGGGAGCAAACA
rnacentral:rRNA from 1 species